rnacentral:rRNA from 1 species
AUUGAACGCUGGCGGCAGGCCUAACACAUGCAAGUCGAACGAGUGGCGGACGGGUGAGUAAUGUCUGGGAAACUGCCCGAUGGAGGGGGAUAACUACUGGAAACGGUAGCUAAUACCGCAUACCAUCGGAUGUGCCCAGGUGGGAUUAGCUAGUAGGUGGGGUAAUGGCUCACCUAGGCGACGAUCCCUAGCUGGUCUGGGGGGAUGACCGGCCACAAUGGAAAUGAGACACGGUCCAGACUCCUACGGGAGGCGGCAGUGGGGAAUAUUGCGCAAUGGGCGCAAGCCUGAUGCGGCCAUGCCGCGUGUGUUAAGAAGGCCUUAGGGUUGUAAAGUGCUUUCAGCGAGGAGGCGUUACUCGCAGAAGAAGCAUCGGCUAACUCCGUGCCAGCAGCCGCGGUAAUUC